UACAGUUUAGCAGCACUAUAGUAAAAUUGGAACAAUACAGAGAUUAAUAUGGCCCCUAUGCAAGGAUGAGAUGCAGAUUCGUGAAUCAUUCCAUAUUUUU
ensembl:snRNA U6 U6 spliceosomal RNA